AUGGCGAUGCUCCGGUACGCCGCCAGCCUGGCGCUCCGCCGGUCGGCAUCUCCACCUGACACCGUGGUCUCGCGCUUCUUGGGCAGCGCUGGAUGCGGCAACCCCGCCGCCGGCCUGCCGCUCCUCCGGCGGCCGUCACCUCCGCCUGGUGUUGCUGCUGCUGCGACGGCGGCGGCCUCUCGCUUCUUCAGCAACGGCAGCCGGCCUGGAUCCAGCAACACCAACUCGACGCUUGGCAAGCCUAUUGAGGACACCAAGGAAGAUGUGUACCCAAGGACCCGCAAGUCACCUGCCAAGAUACGCAUAAUUCUGAAAUCUUUCAAUAACCAGAAGAACAAUCUGAAGGAGCUUGCGCCGUACAUGCAUAAGGUCGGGUUGCCUGAAUCGCGGUCCUUAUACACCGUGCUGCGAUCACCUCAUAUUGAUAAGAAAUCCAGGGAGCAAUUCUCAACGCAUGUGAAGAAAGUGUUUGUGGAGAAAACAGCGGAGACGCAUGAACUGGCCAAGAAGUUCUACUGGUUGAAACGGCUUCGUAUAUUGGGGGCUCAGUACGAAGUCGUCAUUAAUUUCAAGACACGCUUGGGUAAGAAGAUUGGCUGCAGCAAAGGUGGUGGCCUGCUUCGACAUCCAAAACAGGGUUCAGGCAUAGAAUAA
rnacentral:rRNA from 1 species